AACUCUGUAGCUCAGAGGAUAGAGCGCAAGGCUCAUAACCUUGAGGUCGCUGGAUCGAAACUAGCCAGAGUUA
rnacentral:tRNA from 6 species